rnacentral:rRNA from 1 species
CACGUAGGGUGCGAGCGUUGUCCGGAAUUAUUGGGCGUAAAGAGCUCGUAGGCGGUGUGUCGCGUCGGCCGUGAAAACCUGUGGCUUAACUAUGGGCUUGCGGUCGAUACGGGCAUCACUGGAGUUCGGCAGGGGAGACUGGAAUUCCUGGUGUAGCGGUGAAAUGCGCAGAUAUCAGGAGGAACACCGGUGGCGAAGGCGGGUCUCUGGGCCGAUACUGACGCUGAGGAGCGAAAGCGUGGGUAGCAAACAGG